rnacentral:RNase_P_RNA from 1 species
GGUAGAGGGAAGCUCAUCAGUGGGGCCAUGAGCUGAGUGCCUUGCAUCACUCCAGCCCAUGUUACCUGGGAAGGUCUGGGACUAGAGCCAAAAGUGGCCCUAACAGGAUCCUCCCCGGGUUUCAAAAGAGGUGAGUUUUCAGAGAAUGCAGCUUGUUGCUCCUGAGGGCGGACUGGGUAGGAGAUGCAGUGGACCCUGCCCUUGGGGACGGGCCUGGCUUGGGAAGGGGCCUGGCAGAUGCCUCCUUAGCCUGAGCCUGGAACAGAUUCUCACAGCCAGGGAGACGAGUUCAAUGGCUGCGGUGAGGUACCCUGCCCGGGGGCCUCAUAACCCAAUUCAGAUCACUUUUCCCUAUC